GAUGUAGCCAAGCGGUAAGGCGACGGUUUUUGGAGUCGUGUAUCGGAGGUUCGAUCCCUCCCAU
rnacentral:tRNA from 1 species